GUGCUUAGUGGGAUAUCAGAAGGGUCCAUUGUUUCCCAAAGCUAUUAGUGGUCGCUCCAGGCGCUUUUUCAAUCUCCCUGUCCCUCUUUUGGAGAUGUUUGGAUUUGAAACUUAACUUUUUCUGUCAGGAAGCAUGGCUCAGGGUCGCGACCUCACUCCUGGCACUCGUCGAAGCUGACAGAAGAGGAGACUUCUGGGAAACAGGCCUCCGCUCCGGUGUGGCAGCUCAAACAUGACGCCAGGCCCAAAUCCUCCUCUCCAUCUCCAGAUGAGCAGGUCCAGCGUCAGUCAUUAACCUCUGCUCUGAGCUCAGCGAAACCUAUGGAGCGACUGGAAUACUCUUCACACCCUUUAACCCCGAUGAAAUACUCAGCCAAUUCUGACAGCCCCAACAACAAACAAGACCCAGCUCUCAGCUGUCUGACAAACCCCAAUGUCCACGAUCCUCCAUUCAGAAAGGGAACCAGCUCCGAAAACAUCUUCUUCAAGGGGCUUCACCAGGACAGAGGGCGUUUUUUGGGCAACGGUGGCUGGGAGGGGACACAAUACCAACCCAUGUCUCGUCUGUCUGUGGGUGGAAGAUCAAAUGUCGCCCCUGUUUGGCAAAUCCCAGAAAAGAAGAAAUCGCAGUCCCCUCCUCCGCCUCCUCCUCCACUCAGAAGUGACAGUUUCGCCGCAACUAAAGUUUUUCCAUUUUCAGACAGUCCGCAAAAAUCUCAAAAUCGAUCCAUGGAGCAUUUGAUUGAUAAUAAUCUAAAAAAUCAGCAGGAUAAGUCAGAGUUAAGAAGAAGUUUGAAUCCAUUACCUAUUAAUAAAGAUUCGCUACAUCCCAGUUCAGCUGCAGAUUCUAGUUACAAACAGUUACAGCCGAACAAACUAUUUUCCCUUUCGAGUAUUGACGUCAGACAGUUUGGUCCUCAGCCGGUUCACCAAAGACAGUACAGUGA
ensembl:lncRNA